rnacentral:tRNA from 1 species
GCGGGAAUAGCUCAGUUGGUAGAGCACCACCUUGCCAGGGUGGGGGUCGCCGGUUCGAGUCCGGUUUCCCGCU